CUAGUCGAUCGACCUAGACGGAGGUUGGGCUAAACCGAACCAAGACACCGUCGCACCGCUGUAAAUUUCUACUGGCACCGAUGUAAUUUUACUUUUCCUCCUGACCGCUGUAAUUUUACUUUUCGCUUGAUAGUUAGCUGAUCGUGGGGAUUGGGAGAUACCCCGUUCCCCAUCCUAUUCUAUACGAGCGGUUUCUGGAGUCUGGAUAGCGCGCGGCGAACGUUAACGGGAGGUCCUCGGCGGCAAAUCUUCAGCGGUGCUCGUCGAUACUGCUCGGUGUUGGCGGCCCACCUCCCGUUCUAUUCCAAUCAGGCGAUGCAGUGAGGGGCUGCUCAUGGGAUCAACAGUGCGGUGGUCGGCGGGCAGGCGGGGCGGCAUGGUGCUCAACGGCUGGUGUCGAUGUUGGGCGGCCCUCGUAUAUAUGGUGGUCGCGGUGGCUCUACCGUGAAUGGAUGCGGCGGCUCUGCGGUAAAUGUGUUGAGGUGGUGCUAGAAGCUGCAGUAGUUUAGGAAGAAGAUGGAGAAGAAGUAUCCUGGGAAGUAGGCAGAAGCUGACACGGACGAGGGGGCACGUGUGCCAUCUCCUAGAUGUGGAGAGCGGCAACAGCCAUAUAGCACCCCAUUUGAGGUGAACUUUGUGUUUCAGAUACCUUUCUGAGUGUGGUGCGUGGAGUUGAGCGAGUCAUUGGUGUGUGUAAUACUCAUCCACAGGAAGCCGCAAGGUUGCAGGUGGGGAGCUCAUGGGAGGAUAAGCUAACUCAAGUAGUUAGACAAGUGCAUAAGAAUUGCCAUGGUAGGCCGGUGCGUCCUCUGAUUGCUCUGCAUGUGAUGCCUGCUUGCGACAUGAACAACAACCUCAGGUACACCUCAGUCAGGAUCAGAGGAAAAUAAAGCUAUUUCUUUCGUGCCAUUUGGAGAUGGGUAUUAGUUUACCAGCGGUCAAGAAAACGGCACCACAUGAUCCUAUAUAGAAUGUACUGCCUACUGAAACAAUGGGAAAAUGAGACAUGCAUUGAAACAAAAAUAACUGACUGGAGUUUAGGCUAGCAAAAAAUCUGUACGUACAGUUCUCUACAUGAGUAACAUUGAUUAUUUCGAGAAAAGCAACCAGCUAUUAUAUCUUCAUCCGACUGCAUGAGUAACAUUGAUUAUUUAUCUGAAUCCAGAGUAGUCAAUUUUUUCUCGUUUGAUGCUGUUCGGCUUGGUUAGUACCAAUUUCCAGUUAGAUUUAUUUCCAUUGCAAAGAGGUGAAUUCUGAUCCUCUUCAGGGCGUCAAUCUUUGCUGGGUUUUAUUUUCGGUACUUUUUGUUUCAUUACAGUGCAAUGAGGAACUUGGAGGUUAGUUGCGCCCAUUUUAUAAAUCAACACGCAUGAAUCUUGAUUAUGUAUGAGAUUAUUCUGAGAUAUUGCCAACAUUUUUUAUGUUUUGGAGAAUGAAUUUAUCUCUUGUGAUAAACUGAGGAGGGUGAAGGCUAUGGUUGUCUGUGCAGACUGUGAGAUGAAUAUCUCUACAGCUAGCAAUUGCUUCUUUUAUAUGGUUGGCCGGUGUGCUGCUUCCGUGGUCUUGUUGGAAGGGCAUAGGGGUCCCCUAGUUGCUGCGGCGUGUCGGGGGUGGCAUGAGCCCGAUACUCCUUGUAGACUAGGUGUCGCUCCUAAGUAUUGUCUCGGCUAUCUCCGUUGCUUUGCUUAUUGUCUGCAGCAUCCUCUGUGCAUUUUCUCGUCCUUGAGUGUGAUGUGUUGUUCAACAGGUGAAGUUUCUACCUCCAUGAGCUCGGCUUAGCACAGUGGCGAUGGUCAUUUUGUAUUCCGGUUGGUCUCAGCGGUUGUUUUCACCUUAGGUCUCGAGGGAGCGUCUCCAUCUUCCAAUGGAUUGUUGCCUCCCGUGCCAAGGCGAGGGGGCAGGGAGUGCCCUCCGGAGAUGGAUGAGGUCACAACUAAUUUUCUCUUGUGCCCAUGGUGAUGUCGAGGACGCUUCCUCUCCUGCUGGUUGUUCAUCGUUCCCAAGGCUCUGCUUUUGCUGCUGAUUACUGUCUUGUUCAUCGAGAAGGGCUUCAUCUACUUUAAGCUGGAAAUGUGCCUUAGUUGUUUAUCUUAGCUUGUUGCUUUUGUUGUAACUUGUGAGUGGUUUGCUGAACCCCUUGUAUCUUUUGUAGUUUUCUUUUCUUUGUUUGUUGGUGUUUUCUUAGAGAUGUUGGUGGUUAUUGUAAUUCUAGCCGGCUGGUCGCUUUGUUAAUUCAAAGUUGGGUUAAGUUCGA